rnacentral:rRNA from 1 species
UAGAUUGCUCCUAGCUUGUACGUGGGCGAACCCCGGCCUUGCGGCAAGCUGCGUUCCUCAGUCUGGUCCGGCACAUAUGACAAGAGGCUAUAACACACCCGAGGGUGCCACCUUCCUCCUGCCUUUUUCUACCGGAUCAAACUGAUGUUGACCCGUGAAAGGCAAAUACACCGCCAGAGACGGCUGAAUACCUUUCACACGACUGACUUCAAUCGUUUCCCUUUUAACAAUUUCACGUGCUGUUUAACUCUCUUUCCAAAGUGCUUUUCAUCUUUCCCUCACGGUACUUGUUCGCUAUCGGUCUCUCGCCAAUAUUUAGCCUUAGAUGGAAUUUACCACCCAUUUAGAGCUGCAUUCCCAAACAACUCGACUCAUUGAGAACGUAUCACAGAGCACCGGUUGUCGCGUCAAGUACGGGAUUGUCACCCUCUUUGAUACUCUAUUCCAAGAGACUUGGACGCGGUCCGGCGCGGAAAACGCCUCUAUAGAUUACAACUCGGACGCCUGAAAGACGCCAGAUUUUAAAUUUGAGCUCAUCCCGGUUCACUCGCCGUUACUAAGGGAAUCCUAGUUAGUUUCUUUUCCUCCGUAUUUGGAAUAUGA